rnacentral:rRNA from 1 species
AUUCCAGCUCCAAUAGCGUAUAUUAAAGUUGUUGCAGUUAAAAAGCUCGUAGUCGGAUUUUGGCAUCACGCCGAACUGUCUGCCGAUUGGUAAGUACGGUUUGGCGGGUGCUUCCUUCCGGAGGCUCGUUCCCUUCUUCAUUGAAGGGUUCGUUGGUUCCGGGUCUUUUACUUUGAGAAAAUUAGAGUGUUCAAAGCAGGCCUAUGCUCUGAAUAGGUUAGCAUGGAAUAAUAGAAUAGGACUUUGGUUCUAUUCUGUUGGUUUCGAACACCGGAGUAAUGAUUAACAGGGACAGUCAGGGGCACUCGUAUUCCGCCGAGAGAGGUGAAAUUCUCAGACCAGCGGAAGACGAACCACUGCGAAAGCAUUUGCCAGGGAUGUUUUCAUUA